UGCAGUUUUCAUAUCAACUGAAAACUUUGAUGUUUAUUAUCAGUAUCUUUAUCGUGACACAAUCAUUCUUCCUGUUCGCCCAGAUCUGAAAAGGAACUGAUCUGCUCGACUGGUAACAUACAACAGCGAAGAAUGCAGCUACUAAUGAUCCAGAUUCAGGUUUUACUCACGAUUGCAACAAGCCUACAUUUUGCUGGUUGUAUUACAAUCUCUAACAGCGUUAUCUAUGGUUGUAAAGACGGUUACAUGAUUGGGGCUAAAUGUGCUAAUAGAACGGGGACAGAGAACCCAUGUGACAGAAAUACGUCAAAUGUACUAUGCUAUUGUCUCAUGAUGCAACCACUGAACGGCGGGAUCAAUGAUACUGAUGCUGAUAAAGUUCACUUUACUUGUGAUUACGGUUAUAAACUAUUUGGAGAAAAUGAGCAGACAUGUCUAAACAGUGGACAUUGGAGUAACUCAGUUCCGCUCUGCAUUCCAAAAGAUUGUGAGCUGUCUGUUCCAUAUAAUGCCUAUGUGGAUGAUAUCCAGAAUGAGACUGUGUAUUUUGAGUGUAUAAAAGGAUAUUACCUACCAGGACCUACAUAUCAAACGUGCUUGCAUACGGGAAAGUGGACAAACACUGUCUCAGACUGCGUAAAAGAAGAUGGUGUUGCCUGUCCGCAAAUUAUUGACAGGGAAGGUAAUGUCUGGAAUAAAUCUUCACCUGGGGAACUUAGUAUAGCUUGUCCUAUUGGAUUUACAGGGAAUAUCACUAGACAAUGUCAAAAUGGCGGCAAAUGGAAACUCCCGAAGUAUGGUUGUAUACGACACGAAGUAAUUCAUAUAUCAACUCAGGCAGGUAAGCUAGAGACAAAUUCUACGGAAGAAGAAAUCCAAGAAGUUAUCCAAAACAUCACCAUUGUAACAGCAAAGCAUACAAAAGAGUUCUUUGGUGCGGAAUUACUAGAAUUAUCUUCAGCAUUGAAUGAUAUAGCAACUGUACUGGAAACUGUGCCAGAGAGACUGAACGAUAACAUAACAAAUAAUUUCCUUGAAUCAUCAAGCAAUCUGAUCAAGAGCUCAACACAUGAGGGAUGGAAACAUAUUUUAGAAUCAGAUUCAGGGGCAAUAAGUGUGAUAGCAGCCGUUGACUUGUUUGGUAAAUCAUUUACCCAGUCGCUUCGAACAAUGAAAGAACAGAAGAAGAAUUUUAUCAAAACAAAUAUUGCUUUUGAAGCGAAGAAAAUUAUACAUGAAGACGUAUUAUUCCCAAAUCAUACAACUAGGAAGCAAAUGAACGAGAGCUUUUCAGAAUGGCUGGGAGACAUAAACAGCUACAUACUAAUGAAAGCAGCAGCAUUUCCAGUCGCCUCUGUCGAAUACAUUGCGACAACAGUGAUAUACCAAAAUGUGUCGGGAAUACUUCCAAAUCUAAACGAACGUCCAACGAAGGGAAGCAGCUUCAAAAGCUCCAGCACUGUCAGGCUCAAUGGUCCUGUACUUUCCCUGACCAUAUCACCGCAACUGACAGAAGUUUUGGAUCCACCCAUUACAAUCUCAUUUCAACAUACAAAUAAGCAGCUAGUUAAGCCGUCAUGUACAUUCUGGCAGUUUCUUGGCGGAUACUCAGACUACAGAGGUUACUGGUCAAACAGAGGAUGCAAAGUUAAAAGUACUGAUAGAUAUCGAACUGUGUGUGAAUGUAACCAUCUUACAAACUUUGCGAUUCUAAUGAGUCCUUUUAAACAGGCUGAUGUUUCUUCACUAGAGCUUACAUUUAUCACGUACAUUUCAAUGGGAAUAUCUCUAGUAUGUCUUCUAGCAACGCUUGGAAUAUACUUGAUAUUGUGGCAGUACUUGAAAAGUUCACGUACAAAGUUGUUGAUGAACCUCUGUGUUGCACUGAUAUUGGCAUAUGUAAUCUUCUUGGCCGGUAUUGAAAGGACGGAAUCUUCAAUAGUAUGUACAGUGAUUGCUGCAUGUCUGCACUACAUAUUCCUGGUAGUAUUUUGUCUAAUGUUGACACAAGGUAUUGAGAUGGCCGUAAGCGUUAUAUAUGUAUUUAAACCAAAGUAUCGGAUGGAGUGGCUCCUCAUCGGAUCUUGGCUUUGUCCCGCUGCAAUCUUGGGAAUAUCACUCGGUAUAACCAGGACGAAAGGCUUUGGAAAUGAGCAAGUAUGUUGUCUAUCCACUGACAAAGGUCUCAUAUGGGCUUUUGUUGGCCCAUCUCUAGUCGUUAUACUAUUUAAUGUCAGUUGCAUUGUUCUCGUCUUGCGGGCAAUAUUACGUUUAAGAGAUGUUCAAAACACUGCAGCGUUGAAAAAAUUAAAGAGAAGCCUUCGUUCAUUGUGUAUUAUGCUGCCGGUGACUGGUGUGUCCUGGAUACUUGGUAUCUUCUAUAUCCAUGAAGAUUUAUCUUUCAUUCAGUAUGUGUUUUCUGUCCUUAAUGGUUUGCAGGGUUGUACGCUCUUUAUGUUCCAUUGUCUUCUGAAUCCGGAGUUUUAGACGGACGGAUGGACGGACAUAGGGACGGAAAAAAGAAUCAAUACCCCACUUUGACGGGAGAUAUUAAAUAUCAUAGAUUAAAUGAAGGAUUAACAGAUUUGUAUACCUAUCACAGUUGGUAUUUGAAGCCUUGAUAUUUAUUCAAAUGAAGGAAAAUGAAACAAAUUAAUUUUACAGUAAGAAGUAUUAUACAAUUAUUUAGUAAAUUGAAAGGCAUACUAAAGCAAAGUCUAACAUAUGAAAGUAUGAACAAUUACCAUAUUUACUUAAUGUAAACAAAAAUAGUUUGCUACGUUUCAUUUAAUCAGAAACUACCAUGCGGUCUACAUCUUUAAGGCGGUGCACGGAGCCAUGACAUGUGUUGCACUUUUUAUAAUCUGUCAUUAUCAAAUUCAGUCAAGCCUAGUAUGUUAAUGUGCCCCCUCAUAUUUUUGAGGGGGUGGGGUAGGGGGUGGGGAAUUAGAGUUACCCUUGUCCUUCCGUACGAAUUUGUGUCGUGCAUAUCUCAAACAAUAUUUUGCCAAGAGUCAUCAAAUCUUACAGGAUUGUCAAGUUGUGCAUAGGUUUUACACAGCCAAACUAGAGUUAUGGCUCUUGAUUUAGUCACAAAUAUGCAUAAAGGGUAUAAAAAUGAUUGUGUCCGGCGUAUCUCACAAAAUAUUUGACGUACAGUCAUAAAACAUUAGGGGACUGUUAUAUAGCAUGUAAAAUUGUGCACCUGGUGUUCUGUAAACCAGACCCGACUUUUGGUCCUUGACUUAAUGUAUAUAUAAAGUGCUUCAAGGUUUAUGUUGCAUAUUUCAUCAAAAACAAAUCACGUAUGGGCAUGAAACCAUAUACAGUGACAGGAAGUGGAGAUACCUGUCUCUUCUAGACACACAUCUAAAUAUAUCUAACAUGUCUAAUUGAUCAUUAAAUUUUUCAUCGAAACUUUACAUACAGGUUAAUUAGAAAUGUAAAAGCCUAAAAUGUGUGGAUACUCAAUCAAAGAUAUUACUGGCUAUUACAGGUAAAGAAAGCAUACUUGCGCAUGAAAGAGAAAAAAUAUUCUGCAUAAGCUCUUGAACAAAAGAAGAAUAAAAACAUGAAGAAAUUGUCUCUAUAAACAAAGAGUCGACAAAAUGAAUCCAUCUAUUUUAUCCUGUUGCAAACGCUUUACUUACUUUAUUAAACAUCGGGCAAUACUUCAA